rnacentral:SRP_RNA from 1 species
GCCAGGCAUGGUGGUGCAUGCCUGUAGUCCCAACUACCUGGGAGGCUGAGGUGGGAGGAUCACCUGAACCCAGGAGAUUGAGGCUGCAGUGAGCUGUGAUCAUGCCACUGCACUCCAGCCUGGGCAGCAGAGUGAGACCCCAUCUCAA